AUGUCAAGUGUGCCUCAGAGUCUUACCCCACCCACGUAUCAAUUUUGAAAACUGCAACAUUAGUAGGCGUUGCCUGGAGGACCGAGAGGGCGGAGCCGCGGCAGUGACGAAGAGACGGCUAACUAGACGAAGCUAGCUCCCUUCACUCUGAGCAGUCAUUAGAAGUGGAGGACGUUUCUCCCCCUCCUUACCCAGACACUCGAGAAGAAAGGGACCAAGUCUAUUUGGAGGAGACAAGCGGACAUGAGCCUUAUUGUUUUGAGCUUGUGAGUUGCCUGAAAUUACUGGAACCGACCCAACAGACCCAUCUCUGAACGUGAUCCUCUGGUGUCUGCAGCUGAUCUCCUGCUGAUGUCGUCGGGAUCAGGAGCUUCCAGAAGAAUGUGCCUUUCAAUGACUCUUUCCCCCUUAUUUGUUAUAUUAAUUAAAUAAAUCUCAAUUUAUAUAUUUCCUGUUUUUGUUCAUGUCCAUAAAUACUUAAACAUGCUUGAAAUUAAAACGAGCUUUUAA